GAGGAGGUGGAGGAGGCGGAGGAGGGA
rnacentral:piRNA from 1 species